CUCGUGCCUUGUGCUCAUCCAGGAUCUUGCUUCUAAUGCAGCAGUUUGCCAAAGGGAAGGUCGCUGCGAUCCUGCGACACCUGUUCCUGGUGGAGCUGGUUGGAAAACCUCGGAGCAUCUUUCCAUUGGAAAAUGCAGCCCUGUCAAAAUCAAGCCGCUCUGCAAACUUGUGUUGGUUUCACUGAAAAUGUCAUUUAAAAAAGAUGUUGAACGCCCACAGCUUUCGCUGGCCCUGGGAGCUCAGCCCCCCAGAAGGUCCUGCUGUUCAUCUUCCUGUGCUGAGGAGGAUAACAGUAUCUCG
ensembl:lncRNA